GUAGGUGGCAAGCGUUGUCCGGAAUUAUUGGGCGUAAAGCGCGCGCAGGCGGUCCUUUAAGUCUGAUGUGAAAGCCCACGGCUCAACCGUGGAGGGUCAUUGGAAACUGGGGGACUUGAGUACAGAAGAGGAAAGCGGAAUUCCAAGUGUAGCGGUGAAAUGCGUAGAGAUUUGGAGGAAAACCAGUGGCGAAGGCGGCUUUCUGGUCUGUAACUGACGCUGAGGCGCGAAAGCGUGGGGAGCAAACAGGAUUAGAUACCCUGGUAGUCCACGCCGUAAACGAUGAGUGCUAAGUGUUAGGGGGUUUCCCGCCCCCCUUAGUGCUGCAGCUAACGCAUUAAGCACUCCGCCUGGGGGAGUACGGCCGCAAGGCUG
rnacentral:rRNA from 1 species